GCUGGAGUCUUGCAGAGAGCAGGUGGCAGAGGCAGGGGCGCCUAAUACGCUGUCAUUUUGCCCAAGUCUGGAGGAAAGAAGUCGCCUAGCUUCCUUUUAGUGUAGGAGCUGAAAGGACUCCUGCUGCGGGGUGCGGCGGUCGGUCGGGGAAGAGGCUCAAGGCCGCCUCGCCUGCCCUGCCUCUCUCCAGCUCAGGGAAGGAAGCCUGUGAGCCUUAGCUGGACUUUGACCCAUUGAGGAAAAGGCGGGAGUCACAUUCAAACAGGUCCAUCGGCCUGGCAGGUCCAGCCAGUCGAUCUCAUCGGCCAUCUCGGUGUCCCCGCAGCCCCUCUGGCUCUCCGCGCCCGCCCCCCGCGCCAGGCUGGCGCCCCCACUUUCUGCGCCUCCUAGAGGCGGCGAUGGGGGAGGGGGCCCGGUGUGGUCCGGGCGCACCUCCCGGUCCCCGGGCGACGACUCCGGCCUCCCGCGGAAGGCGAGCUGGCCGCCAAGCCGGGGACGGGCGGGCACUUAACCCUGGCGGGGCCCGGCCCCAGACACCUCCUGCCUCCUCUUGCGCCCCCGGAGCUCCGCUUCAGACCGGCUCCUGAAGUUCAGCGCUGGGCAAUUAGCGUGGUGAGUAAUUAGGAGGCUCCUGCUGCCGCGGCUGCUAACGGGCAGCGCCGGCCUCCGUCCGCUCCCGCCAGCCGGCGCGCCGCCGGGGAGAGGCUCUCCCCCGGAGCCCGCAGGUUGCGCCGAGGUGCGCCCCGGCUCGCCGCUCCGAGCCUGCACUUGAACUGCGGGGCCGGAGGCGGGGCCUGGCUGCGCCGCCGAGGACACUUCACGGCCCCGGGAUGCGCCCGCAGCCCCGCGCGGCCAGGGAAGCAGGCGCCGAGGGCGAGCCUCGACUCACGCACGGCGCAGAAAGGGGGAAGUGAUAACAACACACACUUCGGUGGGUGGGAGGUUAGUGCAGGAACAAAGGUCGAACGCGGGAAGGGUGGCGCGGCCGGCCGAGUGCAGCCCGGCCCGGCAUCGAGGAGGCCCUUCCAGCUAAGGUGCCUAACCUAACUAGUCCAGCUAGUCCUCACCUUUCCUGCCUGACACCUUCUCCAAGAAGCCUGCCGUGACUGCAGAGGUUUCUCAGACUCCGACCGCCUUGAGGUCCCUCCAAAUCAUUUUUCCCACCAUGCACCAGAAAGAAAAAGAAAAAAGAGACAAUGAAAGUAAAGGGAUAUGCAUGUGUGAACUGAAUGCGGGCUUCCAACAUUCCAAACUGACGAAUAAAAUACAAUGCUGUGGGAGCCCAUAGUUCUUCUGCCUCCGGGGGCAAUCCAGCUUUCCAACCUUCUCAAAACCUGCUCCAGGGACUCCACUUUAGUGCCCACAGUUCCAAUCACAUGCCAGACCCCAAGGGAUUACUAGGUAGGCGCUAGGAGAAAUAUUUGUUUCUAAGGGAGAAGAUGUGUGGAAUGACAGGGGGCAGGUAUCUGUUGAGCAGACACUGUGAUCUAAAAGAUUUGUCCCCGUUCCAUUCAGGUAAGUGAUUCACUCAUCCCUUCAGCGACACUUCCUCCUGGAGACCACAGAGGACUCCACCCCGGGUUUAUACGGCCACUCUCUGCAUGUCCCUUAUAAACAGGCUAUAGCAGUAUUCAUCACAGUGCAGUGAAAUGACUGAUUUACUCAUCCGCCUCCUUGACUGAGCCGUGCACAGCCCAAGGGGAGGCCUCCAUCUUACUUAACUUGAAAGCCGCAGCAGCACUUGGCUGGGGCUAGCGGCUUGGCUAGUGCUUGAACACUGCCUGGGACAGUCGUGGUUAGGGACAGCUCUUAAUUCCAAUCAGAAUCCUGUACUUUUGAAUGGAAUUUUGCACAGUAAAUAAAACACUAAGCAACAGUAAGGCGCGUCAAGUGGAGAUCUUUGUGGAAAACAAACCAGCCAGGGACCCUUGCAGUAUCCGAGCUGCCUAACCCAGAGGAACCAGCUCACAGACGGUGAGCUUCCAAAAUGCCUCUGGGGCCAUCUGGGCCAAUCCUCCUGUCUUAAAUUUAGGAAACUGAGGCAGAGAGAGGGAAAGGGCUGGUCACGAGGUGGUGGCUAAGAAGGGCCUGCCCAUUAGUGUCCCCGACCUGAGCUCUUUCCAUUACAUCAUUCUGCCUGGAAGGGAACUCUGCCAGUGUUCAGAGGCUGGCUCUGACUGUCAGAUCUAUGCAAGUCCGUUUUCCAGGUAAAUAAAGAAGCAGAAACCAGCAAUGUACAGCUUAUUUGCCUCCUUACAUCCUGUAUACAUCUAGCAGGAAAAGCUACAUUUGGUGGUAAAUUGGCCCACUUCUAAUAAGCAAAAAGAAUGAGUCCCUUAGUCCCUGAAUUGGGGAAGGCAGGGGUCAGGGAACAAACUUCUUCCUGGGCCUUGUGAAACACCUGUAAGACUCAUCCUGUUGAUAAAGCACAGCCACCUGCCCAGCCAGUGAUAUCCAAGGAUCUAAACUGCCAGGAAUCCUGCCAAGAUGCUUUAAGGGAAAAUACCAGCCACCAGCACACUCCCUGUCCAACCUGAGCAACCAGUAGGGGCGGCUGCCUGGGCUGCAUGUGGGUGGAAAUGGAAAUGGGGACAAAAUGAGACCUAUCUGAAACAUGUGGAGCCCCACUGUCCUCUCUGAGGAGAGGGGGCUUCAAGCUGGCCUCCUCAGAAGAUUGUUUCCCGUGCGUGUGCGUGUGCGUGUGUGUGUGUGUGUGUGUGUGUGUGUGUGUGUGUGUGUGUGUGUGGUGUGUGUGUGCAAGGUGAUCCUGUGCAGAGGCCAGAAGAGGAACUUAGGUGUUCUGUUUUAACAUCACUUCUGCCUUAUUCCCUUGGGACAGGAUCUUUCCCUGAACAGGUUCUCAUUGAACCUGGGGGCUGGGCUGAUGGCCCAGUAAUCCGGUCUCCACCUCCUAUCACAGUGCUGGAGUACAGGCUUUUAUGUGGGUGCUAGGAGUCUGGGCUCAGGUCCUUACAUUUGCACAGCAUAGGGGCUCCCUCACCUGCUGAGCCAUUUCCCUGUCCCCAGAUAGUGUCUUGUUCAGUCUCUGAUGUAGCCUGCAGUUCCGGGGACACUCGGUGAGAUAAGAAAAAGCCAGUGGUUGAGAUUUCAGUUUUUUUACUUGUCUGAAAUGAAGAUCGGGUCUGAAAGUCUUUCUCUAACUGUAGUGGACUGUCAGUAAUGUUAUUUAUUUUUCAGUGCUGGGGAAGGGAACCUGGGUCCUUGAACAUUCUGGACGUGUUCUGCCUCUGAGCCACACCCCAGCCUACAUUCUAAUUAUUUAUCAAUUAUGGUUGAUAUCGAAAUACCAGGAAAAGAAUAGAAAGCCCAACCAAAGCAUCUCUUGGUUCAACAAUUGCCUGGAAGAGAGAGGGAAGGUUGAUAUGUUAAGAAGAAAACCUUACAUGCUUUGUUAAUGGAGUCAGAGAUUUAACUGUAUGUUUCCCCAGCACAUUUUAUCUCCCUAAAAGGUAAUAAACCCUGUCUCAAAAAACAAAAUAAAUAAAUAAAUAAAUAAAUGUCUAAAGGUAAUAAAGUGGCUAAACCAAGCACAUCUUUAAUCCCAGCACUCAGGAGGCAGAGGUAGGUGGGUCUCUGAAUUCAAGGUCAGCCUGGUUUACGGAGUGAGUUCCAGGAUAGCCAGGGCUACACAGAGAAACCCUGUCUCGAAAAACCAAUAAAUAAAUAAACAAAAUAAAAGGUAAUAAAGUAGCUGGGCAUGGCACUACACGCCUUUAAGCCCUGCAUUUAGGGGGCAGAGAUAGAUCUCUGAGUUUGAGGCCAGCCUGGUCUAUAUAGUAAAUUUCAGGCCAGCCAGGCCUACAUAGUGAGACCUUGCCUCAAAACAAGGCCCAGGAGUAAAGGCACUUGCUGCUAAGCAUGGCAACCUGAGACCAGUCUCCAGGAUCCAUACAGCAGAAGACCACCUCAGAAGCUGUCCUCUGGCCUCCACAUGGGUACUGUGGUCGACACCCCCCCCACCCCCCCGCCCUGGAGCUGAGGACCGAACCCAGGGCCUUGCGCUUGCUAGGCAAGCACUCUACCACUGAGCUAAAUCCCCAACCCCCAACCCCCACUCUUAAAGUAAAGCACUCCAUGAGUUUCCUGGUGAGCCUGCCCCUCUGCCAUGUUCACCCCUGUGUGUUGGUCAGGCUGUCCACCCACCUCCCCUGCGGAGGGAGGGCCUGUGCCCAGACCUGGACAAUCUGCCUCUCGUUCUCCAGCAUAAAAAGUAGCGCAGGAAAGGAUGUGUGAGUCAUACCAGAGCAAUGAGACGCUGUAUGUUAGGAUCCCAGAAUCCCCAGGAAGAAGUUGGCAGGGGCCUUCUUGUUGCUUCCGGGACAGCCAAGGGCCAGCCAGCCAGAAAGUGCACCAACACAGGAGAAACGGUGCUGUCGGUGAAGGAAGCCUGGGCUUCCUGGACCCCAUUCCCAGAUCCCAACUGACCAGAAGACACUCAACCAUGGAAUUUCCAGAGGGCUGCCGUUCCCCACGCUCACUUGUUUCAGCUGGUUUUCGUUGGGUUUUUUGUCCCUAACAACUGAAAAAUUCACAGACAAUACAAAGGUCAGAAAAGAAAAAAAAAAAAAACCUGUUUCUUCUGUAUGCUGAGAAAGCACGUUUUCUGUGACUUGUGGAUGGAUCCUUUCAAGAAGGCUACAGUGUUAGCUUAAGAGUCUGAGUGAACCAGGCGGUGGUGGCACAUGCCUUUAAUCCCAGCAUUUGGGAGGCAGAGGCAGGUGGAUCUCUGUGAGUUCAAGGCCAGCCUGGGCUACAGAGCAAGUUCCAGGACAGGCACCAAAACUACACAGAGAAACCUAGUCUCAAAAAACCAAAAAAAUUAAAAAGAGUCUGAAUGAUCAUCUGGUCUAAAGUCCAUGUUGUCCCCAUAGAGGACACUGGAGAACCCAGGGGAAGCACCCCAGAGCUGUAACAAUGAGAGUUGAAACCUCAGUUCUAUCAUCUAAUCAUGUGUGGCCAGACUCCCCUAGUUACAGGAAGAUCGUAAAGCAUUGCCCAACUCUAUAUAAAAGAAUGGCCACCUCAGUGGCUUUUACUGAGUGCUGGCGUUUAUAAGUCAUGGUCACCUCAGGCAAGGUGGCCUGCUCCUAGUCUUACAGGAAGUAGGAAGCCAAGAAAAGGAAAGUUACUUCUGCUGGCCAGAGAGGCAGUUGUAUAAAUAUGCAGAGCCCCAGGCGGACCAGUUGCUUAAAUAAAAUUGUGCUUCCUUAAGAGCUUGAAAGAGAGUUUGUGGGGCUGACUUAGUUAAGAGUGCUUGCUGCUCAAUCAUGAGGACCAAAGUUCAGAUCUCAGGACUCCUGUAAUAACAUUUAUGCUCAUUUGUGUUAUAUAUAUAUAAAAAUUUUUUUCCUGGUAUCACAUCCAGAAGGUGUAGGAUUGUGAAGUUUCCCCACAGCCUGGUUUGUUUCACAGAUAUCUACUGAGUCCUUCUACAGGUCUGUUCUCCAUCAUCAGGAGCCUUGGGAAUAAAACGGAAUGUUUCUACUCUCAUCAUGCUCCCAUUCGGUGAGAAUUUGGUCUCAGAGGAUGACGAGCCUGCGGAGAAAAGAGGGAAGACAGACAGCGGGAGAGCGGCCACUGUGGCUGUCUCCAUCGUCAUCGUUGGUGUUUUAUCUAGGCUUCUCAGGGAAGGGCAUACCAAGAAUGACCCCAGAGAAAGGCUGGGAGGGGGAGGGCAGGCCCUGGGGAAGGGGCUCUGGGCAGAGGAGACAGUAAGCACAGAGAGCAUCCUGGCCUUGGCUGAUGAGCAGCAGGAGGCCAAUGUGGCUGGCGGAAGGUAAGUGAGCAGAAAGGUAGGAGAUAAGGAAGAACCGAGGGGCACUAGGAGACCUGACCAGGUCACUGUUCUGCACUUGGCGUUUACACCGAAUCAAAGCCAGUGUGGGCUGGCACGAGAGUCAUGACGGUCUUCUUAAGGCUCCGUCUAGCUGCUGUUUGGAAUAGGCUAGACGCCAAUUUUAUAUAUAGGCAGCUACUGCAGUAGCACACACACGGUAUGAGGACAGCUUGGUUCGGGUGGCAGGGGUACAGGUGGGAAGAUAUGGUCAGAUGUUGGGUAUCUUUUGAAGGUAGACAUGACAGGAUUCACCAGUAGGCCAUAAUUAGGUGUAAGCAAGAGACAGAGAUAGCUUAGCUUGGAGGUUCUCAGCCUGAGUCACUACGAGGAGUUACCACUGACUGAGAGGAAGGGGGGUUGUAAGGGCAGUAAGUAUGUCUGGGAGAAGGAGAAGAGUACAGUGAUGUCUUCAAGGUAUCCAAGUAGAGAGGCAGUGGAUAUGGGAGACUCUUGGGAACAGAGAUGCACCCUGGACUUGCCGUGAUUUGGAAGGCUUGGCAGCCACAAGGCUGUCUGCAAUCCCAAAGGGGAUGACAUGGAUACAGAGAAGGUAGAAAGCCAGGGCUGAACCAGAAGGAACCCAUGGGAGACUGAGUACCAGUCAGUGAAGUAGGGCAGGAAAGCAGCACACAGCGGGUGUGCCUUUUAAUAUUCACAUCACUCAGGAGCAACAGAGAGGCAGGCAGACAUAGGCUGAGAGACAGGAAGAAAAAAAGCACCAGUGUGUAAAUCUGGGUCUGGUGAUGCAUGUAAUCCUAGCCCUGGGGAGGCUGAGGCAGGGGGACUACUGAGAGUUCAAGGCUAGCCUGGCAUACAUAGGGAGACCCUCAUCUCAAAAAAAAGAAAAAAAAGAAAGAAAGAAAGGUGGAGUAUGGCAGCACAUGCCUUUAAUCUAAGCACUCGGACGCAGAGGCAGGAGGAUCUCUGUGAGUGUGAGUGCUAACCUGGCCUGUAUAGCAAGUUCCAGGACUACAGACAGCUCUUGUCUUAAAUAAAUAAAUAAAUAAAUACAUGCAUACAUACAUACAUACAUAUAUAUAUAUAUAUAUACACACACAUAUAUAUAUAUAUACACACAUAUAUAUUAAGUAAAUAAAAGCCAGAGUCGGGGGUAGAAGGGCAAACAAAAUGUCUCGGCAGGUAAACGCACGCGCAGCGGAGCCUGACCGAGCCUGGUCCCUAAGACCCACAGCGUGGAAGGAGAGAACUGACCUCCAUCAGCUGCUCUCUGAUCUCCACACUCACGCAUGCCUCGUAGCAAGCAGUGAUUUCAGAACCGAUCUGAAGACAUUCUCCACCACUCAGCUCAUCCACCCUUUGACACACAUCUCCUCUCUAGCCAGCCACUUGAACUGAAGGCCUAGUCCCCGGGACUUUCUCACCCGUCAGCUUCCUGGACAUCCUCUUUCUGAUCCCAGCGUGGCUCCGCCCUCACUCACUCACUCUUUUCCUUCAUCUUGUCUCCCUGUGGAGCCUUUAGUCUCUUGAGUUUGCUCCUCGUCUGUCAACCAAAGCCUGUCUUAUGCCCUGUGUCAUUCUGCAACAAUGCCCAGCGGGUCACUGCACUGCCUCAAAGACCAACAUCCACGUCCUCAGCUGUACCCACUCUUCAGCGCUCUCCUCUGGAUUAAUCUGCCUACUUUUCUGCUCCUGUGCCCAGAAAAAUAUCAAGCCAAGCCACUGUCGGAAUUAAACAAAUUGAUGCUCGUAUAAAUUUGCACUGGAGUCUUCCACAUGCUUCCUGCUGUGUCCAGUCACUCUCAGCAGCUGGCCAAAUUUUUCCCGGAAAAAAAAAAAAGAGAGAGACAAUCAGGAGGGAGUCUAGCCAGCACUGCCUAGCCCCAGCCCCACCCCCGCCCUUACUCAGUCUUACCUGUCCCUGCCCACCUGUCUCGUCCCUCCCAACCACAACUAAAUGCUGUAUGUGUUCCCAUCUGACACAGAGUCGUUCUCUGGCCAGCUCCUCGGAAGGAAAUCCCACUCCAUCAUUAAUUUCCACUCCUCCAUAUUCCCACUCCCUCUCCCGCUUCACGUACUUCCUUUCUUCAAGCCUAUGACUACACUCAAGAUUUCUGCCAUUAAAAAAAAGCAACACAGCAGAACCUAAGCCCACCCCACCCUACAGCCACCACUUCAUUAGCCUUUGUCUUUUCGCUUCCAUUUUCUUCAAGAAGUGAUGGAAGAGGGCACUUGGGGUGUCUUGGUCUUUGUCCCCCAGCUACUCAUAAUCUAGGUUACUCCACGUUGCUCUUCUGUUCUCAUCUGAGGGGACAUCUCUGAUGGAAGCGAUUAACUCUGCUCUCUGGCCUCCGUACACGCCAGGCCUCCAUUUCCGCCCCAGCCAUCCUGCCGUCUGCUGUACCUGGCCUGCCUGUGUGAAGUGGCUGCCAACGCCUGAAGAGGCCACCUCCAUUUAUCUCCCAUCGCUUAGUCUCCUUCCAAAUGUAACCCAGGAGGGCGGCCUCUCUGCGGGCCUGUCGGCCUCCUGUUUGCCAUGGCUACAGCCUGCACAACUGCCUGUCUUCCCUAUCCUGAACUGAACUCCUUAGGAGUUCCCCAAGGUGGCUGCAAACUCAGGAUCCUCCUGCCUCAGCCGCCAAAGUUCUGGGAUUACAGGCGUGUGCUGCCAUGCCCAGAUCAACUAUUCCUUUUUAAUCCUUUGGGUCGCUGAUUCUGCUUAAUGUCCAUCUCAGGGCAUCCAUCUCAGGCCCUUCUCUGUGCUCUACUGGUAUGGUCUUCUUAGACAUGUAUGGCUGUAAAUUCCAUAAAGACUUUCGGCUUCAUAUUUCUAUCUGAUCCAAUCUCUCCUUUGGGCUUUGCACACACAUAGUCCAUCUCCAUGGGACACUAGAUAGCAUCUCAAACUUUAUGUGACCAAAGUAAAGCACUGGAUUUUCACCUUCAAUUGUGUCUGUUUAAGGCACUUCCCAUUGCCAGACCCCAAAACCUAGCAGCAGAGUGGCCAAGUGCCCCAGUUUACCUGGGAUAGUGCUGGGUUUAGCCUUGAAAACCUGCACCAGGCAACUUCUCAAUCUGAGGCCAUGGGGAUAGUUGGUCCUCUGCACAGGAGCCAUGCCAGAUUCCUUUCGGUUUGUUUGGGUUUUGUUUCAGGAAGGAUCUCUAGCCUCCGAUUAUUGUAGAAUUCCUUCUGUCACUGGAGAUGACAAUUAUUGAGUGUGCAACACACUUGGAGGUCAAGGGACAACCUGCAGGAGUCAGUUCUCUCCUUCUCCCAAGUGGGUCCCAGGGAUCAAACUCAGGUUGGCACUUGCUAAGUCAUUUUCCUAAACGCAGUCUUGAACUUCUGAUCGUCCUGCCUCUAGCUCCUGGGUGCUGGGAUUAUUAUAGGCAUGCAUUACCAUAACCAGUUUCUGCGGUGCUGGGGAUCUAGACUAGGCAAACACUCUAAGUGAGCUACACCCACCACAUACACCCGGUUCCUUCCUGUUCCUCGAAUUCACUUCCCAUCAGUUGGCUGUUCCUCCAGUCGGCCAUCCUUCCACCUCCGCGGCUACCUAGUCCUGACCCUCCCAAGUCACACCUACACCAUCUCAACCAUCUCUUCUUCUUGUCUCCUGCACUUUAUGUAAUAGCCAGAGGAGCUGUUCAGAAAGACAAUGUAACACCCCAUGUCCCAGUUGUGGAAGCUCAUCACUUGUACUUAAAAUAAAUGUGGCUCAUUUGACUGGCCACCGCUGUUUCAUCUUCCCGACCUUCAACCUCCCCUGCUCAUCUUGUGACCCCCUCCCCCCUCCCCCACCCGCCUCCAUUCUAGAGGCCUCACCAAGCUAUGGCACCUAAAGUCAUGCCCCAAGUGUCUCCUUACCACAUCCUUCACCCACUGUUCUCGAAGCAUGCCCCACCAUCCGAACACUCUUGUUAGUUCUUUUUAUUUUGGUUUGAUUUUGUUUUUUUACUCUCUACCACUUAUGAUAUAAGCUCUUUGAGAGCAGAAACCUUUCCAGUCUUGUUCAAAUCUGUGUUUCUUGCACUUGGCCCAGAGCCGCACACGCUGUAAGUGCUCAGUAAAUAUUUGUUGAGUAAAUGAAUAUGCAGCAUAUGGAACAGAAUCUGCCCCUGUACCCUGAAUGAUAGUGGACAAAUCAAUGAGUCAAGCUCAGCAAUAGGCACUGGGUUCACCGUAGUAACUAAGAUGGUCAAGUUUGUUUGUUUGUUUGGGAGU